GAUGAACGCUGGCGGCGUGCCUAACACAUGCAAGUCGAACGGUCUUGGAAGCUGGAAGCUGGCAACUGGAAGCUGGCUUGCUAGCAAUCAGUAACUGGCAACUAGCAACCAGGAUAGUGGCGAACGGGUGAGUAACACGUAGGUGACCUGCCCCGAAGAGGGGGAUAACCGCUGGAAACGGCGGCUAAUACCCCAUGUGGUCAUGGGGUUUAGAGGCCUCAUGAUUAAAGCUCCGGCGCUUCGGGAGGGGCCUGCGGCCUAUCAGCUAGUUGGUGGGGUAAUGGCCCACCAAGGCGAUGACGGGUAGCUGGUCUGAGAGGACGAUCAGCCACACGGGCACUGAGACACGGGCCCGACUCCUACGGGAGGCAGCAGUGAGGGAUAUUGCGCAAUGGGCGAAAGCCUGACGCAGCAACGCCGCGUGGGCGAUGAAGGCCUUCGGGUUGUAAAGCCCUUUUCUGGGGGAAGAGGAAGGACGGUACCCCAGGAAUAAGUCCCGGCUAACUACGUGCCAGCAGCCGCGGUAAAACGUAGGGGACAAGUGUUAUCCGGAUUCAUUGGGCGUAAAGCGCGUGCAGGUGGUGCUUUAAGUUGGGCGUGAAAGCUCCCGGCUUAACUGGGAGAGGUCGUUCAAUACUGAAGCACUUGAGGGCAGGAGAGGGAGGUGGAAUUCCCGGUGUAGUGGUGAAAUGCGUAGAUAUCGGGAGGAACACCAGUGGCGAAGGCGGCCUCCUGGCCUGCUCCUGACACUAAGACGCGAAAGCUAGGGGAGCAAACGGGAUUAGAUACCCGGUAGUCCUAGCUGUAAAACGAUGGAUACUAGGUGUGGGUGGUAUUGACCCCAUCCGUGCCGAAGCUAACGCGAUAAGUAUCCCGCCUGGGGACUACGGCCGCAAGGUUAAAACUCAAAGGAAUUGACGGGGGCCC
rnacentral:rRNA from 1 species